rnacentral:lncRNA from 1 species
AAAAAAGGAGGAAGAGGAGGAGGAGGAGAACAACAACAACAAUAAGAAGAGGAAAGGCUGUAGAGAUGGCUCAGCGGUUAAGAGCACUGACCGCUCUUCCAGAGGUUCUGAGUUAAAUUCCCAGUGACCGCAUAGUGGCUCACAACCACCUGAAAUGAGAUCUGAUGCCCUCUUCUGGUGUGUCUGAAGACCGCGACAGUGUACUCACAUGAAAUAAGUAAACAAAUCUUUAAAAAAUAAAAAGAAGAAGAGGAAGAAGAAGGAGGAGGAAGAGGAGAAAAGAAAGAAAAGGAAAGGAAAGGCUGCUCUCUCCAUAUCCCCUGACAGCACUCGCUCCCCCUAUAAGCUGUUGUCUUGCUUUAACCUGUCCAAUGGCAACUGUGUGAUUAGUGACUGUCAGGGUCAAAGUCAAUGAAGUCUAUUGGAGGUGUGAUUAUUGAAAUGGAAGCUUUUCCCAAGCAUGGAUAUUAUUUGAUUUUAUUUGUUUAUAUUUUUAUUUUUAACCCCCUAAUGCCCCUCCUUUACAUUUCUUUAGGUUUAUUUUUAUUUAUGUGUAUAUGUGUGUACCUGCAUGAGUUUAUGUACAUCAUAGUGCACAGUGCCCAAGGAAGCCAGAAGAGGGCGGUGGAUUCCUUGGUGCUGGAGUUAGAGGUAGUGGUUUUAAGCUGCCAGAUGUGGUUGCUGGAAAUCAAACUCCAAUUCUCUUCCAGAGCAGUAAGUGCUCUUAACCACCAAAC